rnacentral:tRNA from 1 species
UUAGAAGUAGUAUAAAUAAAUAUAGUAAUUUUACAAGUUGCAGAUCCUUAUGGCUUUUAAU